AAGCUAUUGUAAAUGUAUUGUUUAAUCAGGAAAUGGUGGAAUCACCAAGAGUUUUGAUGGUCAGUCAGACCACUUGGUGCCUGCCAACUCUGCUGUGAUGGUAGAGAGUGAGCUUUUCCUGAUGGCAGGACGAAUGAUGGGGCAUUGCUUCCUGUAUGGUGGUCCUGCUUUCCCUGGCCUCAGCCCAGCCAUCAAACAUGUUCUGUGUGGUGGGACAGUUGACACUGUCACUGUUAAUAUUGAAGACUGUCCUGAUUUGGACAUCCGUGAAACAAUCCAGCUGCUAAAAGAAAAGUCUGAACUCCAAGGUGAACAGCGUGACAGUGUUGGCAACCUUUGUAUGGCAUGGGACCUUCCGCUUCCAAACCUAAACAACAUGAAGUGGCUCCAUGACAAGCUAUUCAUACAUGCGGUUUUGGAUCUAUAAGCAAAACAAGUGAAGCAGUUACGGAAGGGACUGAAGGAGACUGGCAUUUGGCCUCUUCUCUGCUAUAGAGCAGAUGUAGUGAAACUGCUUUUCCCUUGUGAAAAAGAUGCAGAGAUCACACCCCAGAUGAUUCUUCCACACAUCACAUGGCCCAAGCUGAAAUCAGAUUUUGACUCUGAUGAUGAAGAUGAGGCGUCUGUGGAGGCCAUCACACAGGUCACAGGCUACUUCAGGAGUUUUAUUGAACAUGCUCUGUUUUAACAUUAACUCUCAUAAAUGUCCUUUACUUCUGUUAAAUAUAUUCAAUUUAUCAACAUAAAACUUGAGGAGUAUUACCUCUGCCAACUGUUUGUCUGAACAGCCUGAAGCCCACAAUUUUUCAUACAUCACAAUGAAAUUACUACUGGAUU